AGACAUCCGGCCAGUACAAUUUGCCAUUUUUCCACUUUUCCAUAUUUGCUUUGUGGAGUUUUUAGCUAGGGUUCAUUUUCAUUGAAACGUCCUCAUACAGAGAUCUCUCCCCGCAAACCCUCUUCACAGUGGGACCGAGGACAUUUGAGGCAAAUGUCCAGUAGGAACUCCAACCCACCUUUUUGCCCUGUAUGAAUAAUCAUGUGUUUGUUCAGGUUGCCCUUUAGCCCAAAU